CACUCCUGCGGGAGGCAGCAGUGGGGAAUUUUGGACAAUGGGCGAAAGCCUGAUCCAGCAAUGCCGCGUGAGUGAAGAAGGCCUUCGGGUUGUAAAGCUCUUUUGUCAGGGAAGAAACGGUGAGAGCUAAUAUCUCUUGCUAAUGACGGUACCUGAAGAAUAAGCACCGGCUAACUACGUGCCAGCAGCCGCGGUAAUACGUAGGGUGCAAGCGUUAAUCGGAAUUACUGGGCGUAAAGCGUGCGCAGGCGGUUUUGUAAGUCUGAUGUGAAAUCCCCGGGCUCAACCUGGGAAUUGCAUUGGAGACUGCAAGGCUAGAAUCUGGCAGAGGGGGGUAGAAUUCCACGUGUAGCAGUGAAAUGCGUAGGUAUGUGGAGGAACACCGAUGGCGAAGGCAGCCGCCUGGGUCAAGAUUGACGCUCAUGCACGAAAGCGUGGGGAGCAAACAGGAUUAGAUACCCCAGUAGUCCC
rnacentral:rRNA from 1 species